CGUUAGAUCACCGAAGUCAAGCAUCAUUGGGAGCGGUCAGUACUUGGGUGGGUGACCACCUGGGAACACCGCGUGCCGUU